GGCGAACGGGUGAGUAAUGUAUCGGAACGUGCCCAGUCGUGGGGGAUAACUGCUCGAAAGAGCAGCUAAUACCGCAUACGACCUGAGGGUGAAAGCGGGGGAUCGCAAAACCUCGCGCGAUUGGAGCGGCCGAUAUCAGAUUAGGUAGUUGGUGAGGUAAAGGCUCACCAAGCCGACGAUCUGUAGCUGGUCUGAGAGGACGACCAGCCACACUGGGACUGAGACACGGCCCAGACUCCUACGGGAGGCAGCAGUGGGGAAUUUUGGACAAUGGGCGCAAGCCUGAUCCAGCCACGCCGCGUGCGGGAAGAAGGCCUUCGGGUUGUAAACCGCUUUUGUCAGGGAAGAAAAGGUUCUGGCUAAUACCUGGGACUCAUGACGGUACCUGAAGAAUAAGCACCGGCUAACUACGUGCCAGCAGCCGCGGUAAUACGUAGGGUGCAAGCGUUAAUCGGAAUUACUGGGCGUAAAGCGUGCGCAGGCGGUUAUGCAAGACAGAGGUGAAAUCCCCGGGCUCAACCUGGGAACUGCCUUUGUGACUGCAUGGCUAGAGUACGGUAGAGGGGGAUGGAAUUCCGCGUGUAGCAGUGAAAUGCGUAGAUAUGCGGAGGAACACCGAUGGCGAAGGCAAUCCCCUGGACCUGUACUGACGCUCAUGCACGAAAGCGUGGGGAGCAAACAGGAUUUAGAUACCCCUGGUAGUCCACGCCCUAAAACGAUGUCAACUGGUUGUUNAGGAGGGGUUUCUUCUC
rnacentral:rRNA from 1 species